rnacentral:rRNA from 1 species
CCCUUAGAUGUUCUGGGCCGCACGCGCGUUACACUGAUGCAUUCAACGAGUCUAAAACCUGCUCUGAUAGGGGUGGGUAAUCUUUUGAAUGUGCAUCGUGAUUGGGAUAGAUGAUUGCAAUUUUUCAUCUUCAACGAGGAAUGCCUAGUAAACGCAAGUCAUCAGCUUGCAUUGAUUACGUCCCUGCCCUUUGUACACACCGCCCGUCGCUCCUACCGAUUGAAUGAUCCGAUGAAUAUCAUGGAUUGAGGAUGCAAGUAGGUUCGCCUAUCUUCAUCUUCGAGAAGUGAAGUAAAUCUUAUCAUUUAGAGGAAGGAGAAGUCGUAACA